rnacentral:rRNA from 1 species
UGGGGAAUCUUGCACAAUGGGGGCAACCCUGAUGCAGCGACGCCGCGUGAGCGAUGAAGCCCUUCGGGGUGUAAAGCUCUUUCGACCGGAACGAUAAUGACGGUACCGGGAGAAGAAGCUGCGGCUAACUACGUGCCAGCAGCCGCGGUAAUACGUAGGCAGCAAGCGUUGUUCGGAGUUACUGGGCGUAAAGAGUGCGUAGGCGGUUUUCUAAGUUCGGUGUGAAAUCUCCCGGCUUAACUGGGAGGGUGCGCCGAAGACUGGGAAGCUGGAGUGUGGGAAAGGCAGGCGGAAUUCCUGGUGUAGCGGUGAAAUGCGUAGAUAUCAGGAGGAACACCGGCGGUGUAGACGGCUUGCUAGACCAUAACUGACGCUGAGGCACGAAAGCGUGGGUAGCAAACA